AAAAACAAAACAAAACAACCUGCCCCUCCCAGUAUCUUGCCUCAGGCAGCUCUGGACCUUGCACUCAAGGGGCUUUCCCUGGGCUCCAGACUUCGGGAGGCGGAGGCAGCCGUGACCACCAUCACAGACUGUUUCACAGCGUCCACAAUGGGAUAGGCUUCUGCCAGCUCCACUAACUUGGAGGAGGUUGCAGAGGGACCCACAUUCCUGACCACCACCUCUAUCUGAAGGAGGUGGGGCAGUGUCAACAAAAGGCUAGACGCCAGUGAAAAUAAAAGUAAGUGAGCCCCAGGCCAGUGUGGUGAGCAGGAAGAUGGUGAUUCCCUGGAAACUAGCCUAAGGGGAGCCAUCAAGCACCCAAAUGCACUGGAUCCUCCCUGGCAGCAAGGCAAGGAGAGAGAACAGCGUGAUUCUUCUAAUCUAUUUGAAGGAAACAAACUAGUGCUCAAGGCAGAAAAAUCUCGUGCACGAAAUUCUAAAAAGAACUGUCUGUUGGAGUUCCCUUUGUGGCUCAGCAGAAACGAAUCUGACUAGCAUCUGUGAGGAUGCAGGUUCCAUCCCUGGCCUCGCUCAGUGGGUUAAGGAUCCAGCGCUGCCAUGAGCUGUGGUGUAGGUCGCAGACACGGCUCAGAUCUCGCAUUGCUGUGGUGUAGGCUGGCAGCUGGAGCUCCGAUUAGGCCCCUAGCCUGGGAACCUCCAUAUGUGACCUAAAAAGCAAAAAAAAAAAAAAAAAAAAAAAAAGGAAAAUUUUAAGUGAUCUUAAGUUAUUUACCAUCACAUCAAAAAGAAUAAAAUACGACAAAGAGGCAAGAAUAUACAAUAGAGAAAAGAAAGUCUCUUCAAUAAGUGAUACUGGAAAAACUAGACAGCUAUAUGUCAAGUAAUGAAAUUAGAACAAGCUCUAACACUAUAUACAAAAAUAAGCUAAAAAUGGGUUAAAGACCCAAAUGUAAGACCAGAUACUACAAAUCUCCUCAAGGAAAACAUAAGCAGAACUCUUUGACACAAAUUGCAGCAAUAUUUUUUUUAAUUCGUCGCCUAGAAUAAUGGAAAUAAAAGCAGAAAUAAACAAAUGGAACAUAAAUAAGCUUAAAAGCUUUUGCACAGCAAAAGAAACCAUAAGCACAAUUAAAAAGAAACCUUACAGGUUGGGAGAAAAUAUUUGAAAAAAUUUGUAAAUGAUGUGACUGGCAAGGAAUUAAUUUCUAAAAUAUACAAACAGUUCAUACAGCUCAAUAUCGAAAAAAAAAAACCAUUAAAAAAUGAGCAGAAGUCCUAAAUAGACAUUUCUCCAAAGAAGACAAACGGAGGGCCAACAGGCACAUGAAAAAAAUAUUCAACAUUUCUAAUUAUUAGAGAAAUGCAAAUCAAAAUGACAAUGAGGUAUCACCUCAUACCAGUCAGAAUGGCCAUCAUCAAAAAGGCUACAAAUGAUAAAUGCUGGAGAGGAUGUGGAGAAAAAGGAACCCUCCUAUGCUGUGAGGCGUGAGGUAAAUUGGCAAAACCACUACGGAAAACAGUAUGGAGGUUCCUCAAAAGGCCUCAUGUGGUAAAAAUAGAGUUACCGUAUGAUCCAGCAAUCUCACUCCUGGGCAUUCUGGAGAAACCUGUCAUUCAAAAAGAUAGAUGCACCCCAAAGUUCACAGCUGUACUUACAGUAGCCAAGACAUGGAAACAACCUAAAUGUCCAUCAACAGAGGAAUGAAUAGAGAAGAUGUUAUACACACACACACACACACACACACACACACACACACACACACACACACAUAUAUAUUUACAAUGGAAUAUUACUCAGGCAUACAAGAGAUUAAUGCCAUUUGCAGCCAUAUGGAUGGACCUAUAGAUUAUCAUACUAAGUGAAGGAAGUCAGGCAAAGACAAAUAGCAUAUGAUAUCACUUGCACAUGGAAUAAAAAAAUGAUACAAAUGACCUUAUUUACAAAACAGAAAUAGACACACAAAGAAAACAAACAUAUGGUUACCAAAGGGGAAAGAGGGAGAAGGUGGAUAAAUUAGGAGUUUGGGAUUAACAAAUACACACUACAGUACAUAAAAUAGACAAACAACAAAGACCUGUAUAGCAUAGGGUAUACAAUAUGUUGUAAUAACCUAAAAUGGAAAAGCAUCUGAAAAAGAGCAUAUAUACAUACAUACAUACAACUGAAUCGCUUUCCUAUACACCUGAGACUAACACAACAUUGUAAAUCAACUACACUCCGAUUAAAGUAUUAAUAAAAAAAGAAAGAACAUUAGCUACUAAAAAAUUAAAUAUUAAGUGGUUUUAGGCUAAUCAUGCCUCAAGAAAAAGGGAGGCACAAAGAAACAAAACAAAACAAAACAAAAAAACAGCACAAUAGGAGUUCCCGUCUGCCGCAGCAGAAACGAAUCUGACUAGGAACUAUGAGGUUGUGGGUUCAAUCCCUGGCCUCCCUCAGUGGGUUAAGGAUCCAGCGUUGCCAUGAGCUGUGGUGUAGGUUGGAGACAUGGUUUGGAUCCUGCAUUGCUGUAGCUGUGGUGUAGGCCUGCAGCUGUAGCUCCGAUUGGACCCCUAGCCUGGGAACCUCCAUAUGUGGCCCUAGAAAGCAAAAAAAAAAAAAAAAAGUAAAAUAAAUAGAAGGCAUAUAAGAGGAAUCAAAAUACGUCAGGAAUCAAAAUAUAUGUAAAUAAACCAUCCAGACAGAAGACAAAGAUCAUCAGAUGGAUAUUUUAAAAUUCCAUGGGCUGUACCUUUAAAACUGAAGGACAGAAUGUGUAGGGACUUUACCCCUUUGGGUUCCUAGGGAACAAAAAUCUUAUUUUGUAUAUUUUGUAUUUUUUAUAAUCUUAUUACUUUUUUGGGAGGAUGGGCCCCAAGGCAUGUGGAAGUUCCCCAGCCAGGGAUCAAAUCUGCACCAUACCAGCAACCUGAGCCGCUGCAGUGACAAUGCCGAUCCUUAACCCACUGCACCACAAUUCCCUGAAAUACAAUCUUUUUUUUUUUUUAAGGCAAGAAAUAGAUUUAUUAGGAUAGGACGCUUGUGAGAGAUGCAAGCAGGCAGGCACGGAAGCUCUGCCUCCCUGAAAUACAAUCUUGAAGGGCAAAAUCACGAGAUGUGUGAGUGUCGUCCAGUUCUGUAGGUUGGGACUGGUUUUGAGUGCUGAGGAUUUCUAUUAAAGACAGCUGUCUGCAGUAUUGUGCCACGUAAUUUAUUCUUCAGUGCAGUAUUAGUUUGGAAGAUGUAAAGAAAGGUCCAAGAUCAUAGCUGGGCAGAUGACAUAUGCAGAUCAUGCAAAUCUUUUUUAUUUUUUUUCCUUCUUUUUAGGACGGCACCCAUGGCACAUGGAAGUCCCCAGACUAGGGGAAGAUCAGAGCUACAGCUGCAGACCUAAGCCAUAGCCACAGCAAUGCCAGAUCCCAGCCAUGUCUGCAACCUCUACCACAGCUUGUGGCAACACAGGAUCCUUAACCCACCGAGCAAGGCCAGGGAUCAAACCCUAAUGGAUACUAGGCAGGUUAACCCACUGAGUCACAACGGGAACUCUAGAUCAGACAAAUCCAUCACUGGGGGUGUUCCCAUCAUGGCUCAGUGGAAAUUAAUCUGGCAAGUAUCCAUGAGGCUGCAGGUUCAAUCCCUGACCUAGCUCAGUGGCUUAAGGAUCCGGCAUUGCCUUGAGCACUGAGCUGUGGUGUAGGUCGCAGACACGGCUCAGAUAUUGCAUUGCUGUGGCUGUGGUGUAGGCCGGCAGCGACAGCUCCAAUUUGACCCCUAGCCUGGGAGCCUCCAUAUGCCACAGGUGCAGCCUUAAGAUAAUCAAUCAAUCACUGUGUCUGGAAAAUGAGCCACAUAAACCUGUUGUGAAGAUGCAACAAGCUGACUUGUGUAAGACUAAGUGCCCAGUGUUAGGCUAAGUUGCCCAGUAAAUAACAGGUGUUAUCACAAGUCUGAAUAAGAUCAAACAUCCUAGGCUUACGUUACGAACACAAAUAGCAUUGACUGAUCAAAACUUUUACCCUGUACUCCUAAAUGAUCUUCCCAGAACGUUUUCCAUUCUUCUGUGUCUCUGUAAGGAAAUGUUGCAUAUAUGUUUAACUCAUUACCAAAGAAUGUUGCAGGGUUUCUUAGGCCUAGGAAGUGCUAGAAGCCUUUGAAAUUUCAUGUGAAAAAUUCAUGAAAUGACUGUGAAAUACUGCCACCUUGCGGUUGUUUUGUGUAAUUUCCUUUCAUGAAGCUCCCCAGUCUGUGGAAUUUAUACAGUGUUCACAUCUCUAGGUCCCCAUUAGCAUUGCCCCAAGUGAAAAUCCUGGGUUAAUUUACACCAAAAUGAUAUAGUGAGCCAUAAGCUGGGCUAAAUAAGAGGAAUAGAUGCUAUCGUUCCCAAAGGGUGAACACAGAGAAAGGAAAGGCCCACGUGGCUUUUUAAAGCUGAGAGUGAGUAUUCCCGCAGUGGUACAGUGGGUUAAAAAUUUGCAGCAGCUUGUGUCACUGCGGAGGUGUGGGUUUGAUCGUGGCGCAGCGCAGUGGGGUAAAGUAUCCAACGUUGCUGCAGUUGCAGCUCGAAUUCCAUCCCUGACCUGGAAACUAU
rnacentral:lncRNA from 1 species